rnacentral:lncRNA from 1 species
AAGAAAGAUUACACCUAAAACGUUCCAGCAAUCCUCAAUCGAAUGACAAGCACGUCCAAGGGCUUUCCUCCUUCCUCUUUGCUGCGGCACAAGGGUUGGUGGUGAGUUUUUGGGGUUAUGGAUGGUGUAAAAGUAUGGAAUGGUGUUUAGGAUGGUAGUAUGGUGCGGCUAGAAGUGUUUCGGGUCAGAAACUAUGGAGAAUGGUGAAGUAUGGAUGCGUCUAGGAGUGGUGGAUGAUUUCUGGCGUGAAUGGUUGAUUGAAUUGUCCUUUGUGGCUGCAACAAGGAAGUUUAUUUAAAGGAUUUCAGGAAACAAAACCCUAGGUUAUUUAGGUAAUCAAAAAUUCAGUCAAAAGCUUCUAGAAAUAGGAAAUCAAAUCAGAAAACUAAAGGAUAUUGGCUAAGAUAUGUAGCAAGGGGACAAAACACAAUAGGAAUGUGUUUUAAUGCAAGGAAAUAGGAAAUAACCCUCUCCCUUGCACGGCAAGGAAGAGGAGAGGUCAAGGGAGGUGUGGCAAAGGUCCAUAAGGGUUCUAAGGCCUUUGUUUUGUGUCCUAGAAUGCAUAUGAAGUCUUCAAAGUGGUUGGAACAUAGGACUUUUAGAAUUAGGAAAGGUCAAACCAAAAUAGGAAACCUUGGCUUAACUUUCCUACUUCAAAUAGGAAUCCUUGUUGGAGUAGGAAUCCUUGUUCUUCUAGGAAUCCUCAUGUGAGUAGGAAUCCAUCUUCAAUUAGGAAUCCUUCGUUGAUUAGGAAUCCUUCGUCGAUUAGGAAUCCUUCGUUGAUUAGGAAUCCUAACUUCUUCAAAUCUUCAAUUACUUCCAUUCCUUUUGCUCCAAGCAUGUGAUCAUCAUUCCAAGCCCAAUUUUUCUCCAAAAGGCACCAAAUUGCAUAAUUUGCCCUUAGAAUCUGAAAACACACAAAAGUGACUUUAAACACUAAAAUAACUAAGGAAACACAACGUACAUGCACGAGAACAAGCCAAUUAAGUCGCAUAAAUAUGCUCCUAUCAGCGCCUAAACACAAUUAGAGACCUUUUAGUAAAACUAUACUAAAACGUUAUAAUUUGGGAAAAUGGAUGGUGGAUUCAGAUUUGGCAUGUCGAGGAACCUCGGGUUUUUCCUCCAUGCACCGUGGCGCGUGGUGGUCGACCUUCCCAACUCACCGGAAAAUCCAACAACUCCAAAAGUUCCCAAAUUUUACAAGAAUGAAGAUCUUGAUGAGAGAAACAACUUCCAUACCUACGGCCAAGGACAAUUUGGCCGGUAAAAGCCCCAAUUUCACUAAAACUCGUCUGAAACCCUAUAAAGGGUGUUUCUUGAUUCGUCCUCAAAUCAACUUUGACGCUCCAACCAAUGAUUGGGCAUUGUUCCUGAGCUCAAGGGGAGGGUAAUGGUUGUAGCGGUCAAAGGUUUACUUUCAAACCAAUGAUUGGGCAUUUGUUGUAUGAAGAAAUGAGAGUUGCUUUGAACAACUCUUGAAAGUUUGUAAUUAUGUUUAGAACAUAAUGGUUGGUUGACAAAAAUAGUCCAUCAACAUGGACUUAUGAUGAUUUUGAAUCAUUGAGUGUUGAAGUAUUAAAACACUUCUAGAGACGGGAACUAGGCAAGGACUUCACCUUUGUGUCCCUAUCCUAAUCGUUCACUAAGUUUAUUGUAAACUAUGUAGUGUACAAUAACCACAUGCUCUCCAAAAUGUUUGAUGUGUAUAACACAAUUGAAAUAAGUUUCAAGAGAGAUAGUGGGAGUUUAGGGACCUUGACUAUGGUAGUCAAAGGAGAAGUCAAAUGAAGAAAGCAAAAUAACUCCAAGGGAACAAACUUUCUUUUAUGAAAGGAUGGACAUUGGAAGGGGUAUUUGCAAGAAAUGUCUUGCAAGUGUCAAGAACACACCUUUCGAAGGCGUUGUAAAAUUGUUCUUGAAUAGUUCAAAACAGUUGGUUCUUCUACUUGAAUGCUUGAUUCCGUAUUAGUAACUAAGUUUUACAAUCGUUGUAAAAGUAUGGCUAAUAAGAAGUAGAAGAUAUAUGAGAGAAGAGAGAGUACUUCACAUUCGGAAAGUUAAUAAAAUAUAGAUUUCUGCGAAAGCAGAAGGUACUUACUUCCUCAUAUGAACUACCAAAGAAAUUGGAAAAACCAAAGAUUGUCUUUACAUUCCAAUUUUAAGGAAUUUAAUUCCGUCACUAUAGUAGAGAUGGAUGAAUGUUUUGAUUGACAAAACAUUGUUCUUUAUUAAUCAAUGAUUGGAUUAUAGUAAUCUAAUUGAUUGUCUCUAUAGUAGAGAUGAUAUGGUAGUGUUAACUGUUUAGAAUACAACGAUGCUUAAAACCCAAAAGGUUGCAAGGUAGUGACUAAUCCCAACUGAAGUUGUGAUACCUCUAAAAACAUAAAUUACGAGUUAGUCAUAGAUGGAUACUUAGGAUCGUUAGAUCCGGAUCCAAUGCCUUCUUGUUAAAAUUGUAUAGAGGCAAAAAUGUUUGAAUCUUCAUUUCUUUGGAAAGAAGAAAGAAUCACAAAGUUGUUGAGGUUAAUUCACUUAGAUGUUAGUGGCACUUG